GCUGGGCACGGUGACGCAUGCCUGUAAUCCCAGCUAUUCUGGAGGCUAAGGCAGGAGGAUCACGAGUUCAAAGCCAGUCUCAGCAACAGCGAAGUGCUGAGCAACUCAGUGAGACCCUAUCUCUA
rnacentral:sRNA from 1 species